GUGAGCCCGCACUGCCUCUCAAGCCCCUUGUCUGCCCUUCUCGGGAGCCGGUGAGGUGCUGGAAGGGCCACGUGACCCGAGGGAGCGAGGUGACCGGGAGCACCGUCCGCCUGCGGACCGCAGCCCACGCGGUGACAGAUUGGGGCCCACAUGGGUGACGGAGAUCCCGGACGAAGACAUUUGGACACACGCCGAGUGCCAGCCCUGGAGGAGGUCAGCCAGAGGCCGUGACCGCCCAUGGACCUGAGGGCGGGGCCUGUCCCUGGAAGGUGCGCUCUGCCAGCCCCUCCCACAGUGGGCGCUGUUCCAGGGACGCAGCCUUGUCAGAGGAAGCUGGCCUUGAGACCCUGGACCCAGAAGAGGCCUCCACACAAACUGGGAAGAGUGACAGCCCAGGGCUCUUAAGCAAGAGUGACGCUGACGCCUGCUCCAGUGCUGGGAAGACUAUUCACGAUGCUCCAGCAGCUACAGGACACUCCUGGCACCUCUCCUGAGCCACACCGCCUUCAGUCCCCAGCUCUCCAGCUUGGGCGUCCCUGUCCUCAGCCCUGGAGGGGACACCGCGGGCCUCCCACAGGGCUCCUGAUGUGCGUCUCUGCGGGUUCUCCGGACCUGCAAGAGCCCUUUCCCCCUGGGAGUUCGGCGGAGGCGGCGGAGGCGGGGGCUUUGCUGGACUCUCACCGUGGGGGAGGGGCUCAGUCCGGCAGCCCCUCGUCCCUCCCCAAGCAGAGGACACACUGACGCCCCCUCCGGGGGUUCUGCGGGGGAGGAGAGCAGAGCUGGGCCUGGCACAGAGAGUGACCCGGCAGACAGGGUGCCCGGCCAUCCCGCGCUGGCCCGGGGGGGUGGGCGG
rnacentral:lncRNA from 1 species